GGAGGGUUGCCAGAGCGGACGAUUGGGCACGCCUGGAGAGCGUGUGUGGGCUCGCGUCCACCGUGGGUUCGAAUCCCACACCCUCCGCCA
rnacentral:tRNA from 1 species